rnacentral:lncRNA from 1 species
ACCACACUUUAUGUUAUUUCCAUGCUACAUACCUACACUUGAUCCAUGUCGUUGGUUAUAUUGAUAUACGUGAUCUAUGUUUGUUCUAGUUACGCAAGAGUAACUAAGAGCUCUUAGAUCCUAUGUUGGUAUGAUUGAUGGACAGGAUUGUUCAUGUCAAUUUUAUUAUGAUAGCAAUUCUUAGCUCAUAAGGUUAUAAUGUAACAUAUAAUGCUAAGGUUUAUACAUAUGUAUGAGUAUCUCGUCCAAGCGGGAGAUUGUUAGAUAUAUGGACUUAUAUCUACAUACAUAUGAACAAUAUAUGGAUUAAUUAUAUGUUAUGUGCUAUCUUCUGGUUUGGCCUAAAUUGGUGGUCUUAUGGACAUUGUUAAGGGGGCCAAUAUAUUGUCAUAUAAAGUGUAAGACUAAUGUGUAGAUACCCA